rnacentral:ncRNA from 2 species
GACGAACCUGACAAACGUUAUUCGGAAUUACUGGGCUUAAAGGGUGCGUAGGCGGCGUGGCAAGUUGGGUGUGAAAUCCCUCGGCUCAACCGAGGAACUGCGCUCAAUACUGCCAUGCUCGAGGGAGACAGAGGUGAGCGGAACUUAGGGUGGAGCGGUGAAAUGCGUUGAUAUCCUAAGGAACACCGGUAGCGAAAGCGGCUCACUGGGUCUUUUCUGACGCUGAGGCACGAAAGCUAGGGUAGCGAACGGG